GGUCAAAGAGUUGAUAAGAAAAAAAUUCUCAUUUUGUAAGACCUCCAGCCAUUGCUGCACUUGCUGGUCAAUAUUCAUAUUCAGGCCCACCUUCACAAUUUAACCCACACAUAGGUUCUUCCUUCGUCAACUAGUCCUAUUGGUGUUCCAAGUCAGCAGUCGACAUCUGGUCAAUAAGCACACUUUGCUUCACAGUCACAGCAGUUUGCAAACCUAUCUGCUUCCUUUGCAACCUCAGCCACACCCACUGAUCUAAUCUGGCACAUGGAUUCCAGUGCAACCGAUCACAUCACUUCUGAUCUAGCUCAGUUGAAUGUCAGUAAACCGUAUGAAGGUUCAGAUCAGCUACAAGUAGGCAAUGGACAAAGUUUCCAGGACAAAGUUUCCAGGACUAUGCUACUUCAAGGAGACCUUAAAGCAAGGCUAUAUCGGCUUAUCAUACCUUCUUGUAUGUCUGUUCAGUCCUCUCCUCAUUUACAAGUUUCAUCCUCAUAGUUUCUACACUCUGAAAAUUAUGCUCUGUCAAAUAAUAAUCAGGGUCGUACAUCUUUACAGUCGUCAGAAUUCGAGUUACCAAAGUCUGAUAUCAAUAUCAAUGUCAAUAAACCUGAGUGUUUGAGUGAUAGUACAAUUUCAGUUUCUGUGUGUAGUCCUGACAAUACGUGUAUUGAUUCUUCUAGCAAUAAAGAGAAAUUUCAAUAUUCAA